UCAGAUAUCGACCAAACCAAACAUCUGAACAUCUCAUACGAUGCCGGCGAUUCUUAAAGCUCAGGAACACGUCAUGAUUACGAGUUAUUUUUCUCGAGACAUGUCGUGUUCUUGAGAUUUAGAAACGCCGUCACUUGUAACCGAUCUCUGCUCUACCUAAAAACACUCGCUAUUUGUUUGCCACAACACUCGUCUACGUUUAGUGACUUGAAUGCGUUGAAACAGUGGAUAGUUUGUUGUCACUGUGUUUAUGAAAGGUGAGGAUGGAAUUGUUAAAGAAAUGUUAGAUUCAGUUGUAUAACUUCAGAAUAAAAUAUUGUUACAUUUGGAAUUGAAUUGGUGAAUAUUGGUUAGAUGAAAAAGAUCAGUUUAAAAGGCAAUUAAAGGAGUUUUUGGCCGAAAUAGGGGGUCCCCUAAGGAGUGCUAUUUUAGGUGUAUUACAAAUUUAUGAGUAAAAUUCUGCAAAAGGCUGCAACCAACAUAUGACACAUUCCUGCACAACAUACAGAAGAUCGCUGAACUGGAUCACGAGCUAUAGAAGUCCGCGAAUUUGCAGAGAAGAAAAAGUGAACAAGAAACAGCGGACUUCAUUAUAACUUGCAGAUCAAAUCAGCUAACUUCAAAUGUUGGUGAAUUGAUUCAGCGGACUUCAGACCUUUUGCAGGGAGUUGUAAGAAGCCUGCAGCUUUUGGUAGAACUUGUGUAGAAGUUGCUGUUUCGAAGAACAAACUACCUAAUAUCACUCAUAACUUUCAAAACCACCUAAUGGCACUCUUUUGUGGUUCAAACCCCCUAUUUCUGCAAAAAAAAUCCAAUUAAAAGAGGGGGAGAAGAGAGAUGUGUUUUUAGGCCUGUUUUAAUGUUUAAGUCUUGAGGACAGCUUAAGCAGCAACUUCAUAUUGUACUGAUGAAUCAGUUGAUAAUGUAUUGUGCUAAUGAAUCUAGGGACGAGCUCGGUAUUGUAUCGGUAA
rnacentral:lncRNA from 1 species